UGGGGCUCUGAAUGGAAUUCUGCAAAAUUCAUAAGUCUUAUAAUUUUACAGAAUCCAGAAUGUGGAAUUUCCACGUGUGAAUGUGACAGCAGAAUCCCCAUUGAAGUUAAAAGGGUACUCCACUCCUUGACAUCUUAUCCCCUAUCCAAAAGAUAUGGGAUAAGAUAUCUGAUCAUGCAGGUCCGGCCGCUGGGACCCCCACCAUCUCCAGGCCGGCACCCCGGCUUCAUGAGCAAUUGUUUUCAAAGCACUGGGUUCAGGAGGCCAUGGUUGUGACAUCACGCCACGUCCCCUUGUCUCAUCACACCAUGUCCCCUUGAUCAGACAUCUUAUCCCCUAUCCUCUGCAGAUGUCUAGGGGUGGAGUACCCGUUUAAUGUGCAGUAAAUUUAGCCAAAUUUUAAAGCAGAAUUUUCCGGUGGAAUUCUACAGAGAAAUUUUGCCUUGUGAACAUAGCCGAUAGCAGAGAAGGGGGGCCCACCCAGUAGCCCCCAAUGUAAACUAAAGACUUAAGGUUUAUCAGUUAAACUAUUAGCCUGGUAAAAGAAGAGGAAUAAAUAUCAUCCGCAAGGUUAUGUUCCCAACAUUCAGUGUGUACGUCAGAAAGUGCUUCCAGCAUAUGCCCCAAAUGGUUGUCAGCAUUCUUAUUUGUGUUUUCUAAAAUGUAUUUGACUGUGCGUUUCACUACAGGUGGAUCCUGGGAAAAAUCUGGCAUAUGCAGCAAUAUUGCAUAUGCGCCAAAUGAAAGCAAAAAGAAUUUGGUCUGAACAGAACAUAAAAAAGUUUCUACAGGUGGGUGUGAGGCAGACUGGUCACCAGCACUUGAUGGAUGCAUUCCUAUGCCCCAGCUGAACAAGGUUGUCUUCGAAUUUUGAGUCCUUGGUGACAUUGAAGAGCCUGGUGGCCAGCUCUGGGACUCCGUUCCGGGAUCUAUAGAGAAACAAGCUACAAUAACUGGCUUGAAGAAAGUAUGCCAGUCUUUGAAG